UACGUAGGGCGCAAGCGUUGUCCGGAAUUAUUGGGCGUAAAGAGCGUGUAGGCGGCCAGGUAGGUCUGCUGUGAAAACUCGAGGCUUAACCUCGAGCUGUCGGCGGAAACCAUCUGGCUAGAGUCCGGAAGAGGAGAAUGGAAUUCCCGGUGUAGCGGUGAAAUGCGCAGAUAUCGGGAGGAACACCGGUGGCGAAGGCGGUUCUCUGGGCCUUACCUGACGCUGAGGAGCGAAAGCGUGGGGAGCGAACAGG
rnacentral:rRNA from 1 species